GCCUGCUGCCAGGAUCUGGGUGGUCAUGGCCACCCAGGUGACCACACCGCUGUACUGCAGACUUACAAAAGAGGUAGAAGACAUAUGCUUCCCAUUAGGCGAGAAAGAAACACGCCUGAGAGUCUAAUGGAUUACUCAAGUCUGUGCUGCCAAAGAAGAACAGAAUCUUUAGGUCUUCUGUGCAAAGUUGUGUCCACCCCCAAAGUCUGAAGUGGCUCCAUUCACAAACUUACAUGGAAUUUGGACUUGGCCAUCUUUCCUUUCAAGAAUAUAA